rnacentral:rRNA from 1 species
GCAAGUCGAGGGGCAGCAUGAACUUAGCUUGCUAAGUUUGAUGGCGACCGGCGCACGGGUGAGUAACACGUAUCCAACCUGCCGUCUACUCUUGGCCAGCCUUCUGAAAGGAAGAUUAAUCCAGGAUGGCAUCAUGAGUUCACAUGUCCGCAUGAUUAAAGGUAUUUUCCGGUAGACGAUGGGGAUGCGUUCCAUUAGAUAGUAGGCGGGGUAACGGCCCACCUAGCCGACGAUGGAUAGGGGUUCUGAGAGGAAGGUC